UGGAUGUGAGAUAUGAUUUAGCAGAGGGUUGUUAGGGUUCUAUGGUAGGACUUGAUGAUCUUUGAGGUCUUUUUCAACCUGGGUAAUUCUAUGAUCAUUUAAUAGAUGAUGACUGUGUUACAUGGACUGUUGGACUGGAUGAUCUUCGAUGUCUUUUCCAACCUUGGUGAUUCUGUGAGUCUACAAUUCCUUGAAGCCCAAAGCUGUGGCAUGAGGUUGACAUGCCCAAGGGACAGGAUGCCAUCCAGAGAGACCUAGGCAGGCUCAAGCAAUGGGCCCAGGUGAACCUCAUGAGGUUCAAGGAAGCCAGGUGCAAGGUCUUGCAUCUGGGUCAAGGCAAUCUUCUCUACCAAUACAAGAGGGGGAAUGAAAGGAUUGUGUACAGCCUUGCUGAAAAGGGCUGGGGGGUAUUACCAGAUGGGAAGCUGGACGUGUGACAGCAAUGUGCUCUCUCAGGCUAGAAAGCCAACUGGAUCCUGGGCUGCAUCAAAAGAAGCAUGGCCAGCAGAGCAAGGGAGGUGAACCUGUCCCUCUGCUCUGCACUGGGGAGGCCUCACCUGGAGUAAUGUGUACAGAUGCAGAGUCCUCAGUGCAGAAGAGAUAGGUUAAAUGCAAGUUGCUCUACUCAUUGGAAUGUGUAAUCCAUCAGUGGUCAGAAAUAAGUAUUUCAGAUGAAGACAUAAAUCCCCAUUAUAAAAUUACUCUCAAUAUUCUAUUGGAGAUAUUACAGAAGGAUUUCCUAUCUUCACCAGUUCAUAUGUGCUUAAGAACAAGAUUUGUAUCUCUUUACAUAAUUUUUUUAUCCUAAUGUAAUAAGAGUCAUAAAAGUGUCUGGUUUAAAACGAAAACAUAUUUUGCUCUUUAUUUCACAUCUGGCAACAAGUUGAAUAUUUUGAUUCUGUGCUGUGAGAAGGAUUACAAAGAUUUUUACAUUUUAUUAUCCAGCACUCUAUUUGUGUAUAAAGUAAAGCCUGAAAUACUUUCUGCAACCCUAUGCUAUCCACCACUUUCUAACAAGUUGCAAUCCAGAGUUAUCGUGGAGACUUCAUUUCAAAGAGAAGCCUUUCCAGCCCUCAAGCCCAGCACAAAAGCAGACUGCCUGUUGUAUCUCUUGGAAACAUUGCUUAAGGAAGAGAGACACAAAAUUUUUAUUUUCUGCUGAGAAGCUUCACUUCAAAAAAAUGUGAAAUUUUCACCUGGGAAAGUAAUUUCCUUAUUGUUUCUACACUUAAUAGUCCAAAGAGCGUUAUCAGUAACUAGUUCCACCCUUAACCUGCCCUACUCAAUGCAUAUGUGUGCCAUACACUACUCUAUUUUCCUUGAAUCCUUCUUUCUGAUUUCUGAACAGAGAUACAGAUUUCAAGCCUUUUCAACAAGUAAUAGCAUUGGUUAUGUUACUAUUUGUGAGUGUACUUAGAAAUGAAUAAUCAGCAUUUAAAUUUUAAGAAGUGUAAGGAAAUUCCUGCAUUAAGAACAGUGGAAAUUAGUUAGAAUUAAUGUCACUACUGAAAGAUGUUAAAUUGGUUUCCUAACUGCUUAAAAGCAAGAUAGUUAAACCAAAAUGUAAUUACAAAAGCCACAAAUUAUUU